ACCUCCUUGGAGCAGAAAAACACGGUCCUGGAGAAGGAAAAGACCGCUCUGGUGAAGAAAAGCACCGACCUGGAACAGAAAAACAUGCCCUGGAGAAUAAAAGUACCUCCUUGGAGCAGAAAAACACGGUCCUGGAAAAGGAAAAGACCGCUCUGGAGAAGAAAAGCAACGACCUUGA